UACCUACGGGAGGCAGCAGUGAGGAAUAUUGGUCAAUGGGCGCGAGCCUGAACCAGCCAAGUCGCGUGAGGGAUGACGGUCCUACGGAUUGUAAACCUCUUUUGCCGGGGAGCAAAAAGCGGUACGUGUACCGCAUCGAGAGUACCCGGAGAAAAAGCAUCGGCUAACUCCGUGCCAGCAGCCGCGGUAAUACGGAGGAUGCGAGCGUUAUCCGGAUUUAUUGGGUUUAAAGGGUGCGCAGGCGGCGAGUUAAGUCAGCGGUAAAAUUUCGGGGCUCAACCCCCGGACUGCUCUGGAAACUGUAG
rnacentral:rRNA from 1 species